rnacentral:rRNA from 1 species
CAGUAGCCACGGGAAUACGAAGGGGGCUAGCGUUGCUCGGAAUGACUGGGCGUAAAGGGCGCGUAGGCGGUUCGUACAGUUGGAUGUGAAAUUCCUGGGCUUAACCUGGGGGCUGCAUUCAAUACGUGCGGGCUUGAGUGUGGAAGAGGGUUGUGGAAUUCCCAGUGUAGAGGUGAAAUUCGUAGAUAUUGGGAAGAACACCAGUGGCGAAGGCGGCGACCUGGUCCUUUACUGACGCUGAGGCGCGAAAGCGUGGGGAGCAAACAGGAUUAGAUACCCCCGUAGUCCCUGUCUUUAUACA